AGUGGGUAACGGCCAUGAGGCAGAGUUUGAUUCGCAACAGAAUCACACCAACAAAUUCACUUUCUCCUUGGGUCUGCUGCCAUAGGUUCAUUUGGUGAAGCUGUAGUUGUGACAGGGUUUGGUCCUUUCAGUCGGUACUUGGUAAACCCCAGUUGGACUGCAGCACAGGGUUUAAAAGCUGAGGGCCUGGAGGAGGAUAUUGAGAUUUAUAUUAAAGAAAUUCCAGUGAGCUAUUCCAGCACAAAGCAGAUCUUGUCAGAAAUCUGGGAUAAAGUUCAACCAGAGGUGAUGGCUCAGAAUGGGGAAUAGCCCCCUGGGUCUAAAGGCAUCACUCUGGAACAGACAGGGAAGAAUUAUGGUUAUGAGGCCAAAGAUGUGUGUGGCCAGUGUCCCCUCAGUCACUGCUGUGUUGAGGGAGGUGUAGACAAACUG